UACGUAGGGGGCAAGCGUUGUCCGGAAUUAUUGGGCGUAAAGAGCUCGUAGGCGGUCUGUCGCGUCGGCUGUGAAAACUCGGGGCUCAACUCCGAGCUUGCAGUCGAUACGGGCAGGCUAGAGUUCGGCAGGGGAGACUGGAAUUCCUGGUGUAGCGGUGAAAUGCGCAGAUAUCAGGAGGAACACCGGUGGCGAAGGCGGGUCUCUGGGCCGAUACUGACGCUGAGGAGCGAAAGCGUGGGGAGCGAACAGG
rnacentral:rRNA from 1 species